AUCGACGACGUCAUCGUAGAACUUCACAUCAAACAUCGAGUAUGUACCAAAUACCGAUUAAACACCCAGCACCGGUAUAGAUUCAGCAUAGCAUCAUCAUCAGUAGCAACAAAAUGCACGCAGCAUAUCCUAUUAAGGAUAUUUACGUCGUAAAUAAGGUCUAACGAUCACAGGCGAGACAGAAAUACAAAUGCGGAAAAGCGAUAUGCACACGUUUGGAAAAUGAAGAAUGAGAAGUAGAGAACGAUUCAAACUAACAAGUUCAUGGUUAACCGGAUACAUCUAACAUCAUUUAUCAUCUAUGCACCUGCACAUACCGACCAGACGAAUCCAGCUUACACUGCGGAGCAUCGGAUGACACCGUACUGCGGCCCGCAGACAACACGGCGUAGGGAACGAGACACCAGUGCAUGCGUGGUACCAACGUGACCGAGCUUCCAUCAGAACCAGAAAGAUCUUACGAUCGCACUUGCAUUUUGACAUCUAAAUAGCUUAGCAAAUAGACAGAAAUUGGCACUAGCUUAGCAAAUAGACAUAAAAAGGC